rnacentral:rRNA from 1 species
AGACGUAGGUGGCGAGCGUUACUCGGAAUUACUAGGCGUAAAGCGUACGUAGGCGGAAGUUUAAGUCUGUUGUGUAAUCUCCAAGCUCAACUUGGAAACUGCAACAGAAACUGGGCUUCUUGAGUGAGGCAGAGGAAACGGAAUUCCUGGUGUAGCAGUGAAAUGCGUAGAUAUCAGGAGGAACACCGGUGGCGAAGGCGGUUUUCUGGGCCUUUACUGACGCUAAAGUACGAAAGCUAGGGGAGC